GAGUAGGUCAGACGGUCGCGGGUACCAGGCCGAAAGGCGGUACAUGAGGAAAGUCCGGGCUCCGCAGGGCAGGGUGCCGGGUAACUCCCGGUAGAGGCGACUCUCAGGAUAGUGCAACAGAAAAUAAACCGCCGCAUUUUUGCGGCAAGGGUGGAAUAGUAAGGUAAGAGCUUACUGGGGGGCAAGUAAUUGUCCUUUUCGUGUAAACCCCACUUGGAGCAACACCGCAUUAAGAAGAAUACAUUGGCCCGAUGCUUCUUGGGUAGGUGGCUUGAGCGGUGCGGAGACGCAUCGCCUAGAUAGAUGACCGUUUGAUACAGAACCCGGCUUACAGACUUGCUCAU
rnacentral:RNase_P_RNA from 2 species